rnacentral:tRNA from 1 species
GGAGAGAUGGCCGAGCGGUUCAAGGCGUAGCAUUGGAACUGCUAUGUAGACUUUUGUUUA